CACCCAGCAUGGUGUAGUGGUUGGCAUGCUGGACUAGCACUUUCGGAGACUCAGGUUCAAAACUCGGCUGGGUGA